rnacentral:rRNA from 1 species
CCAAUAGCGUAUAUUAAAGUUGUUGCAGUUAAAAAGCUCAUAGUUGAACUUCGGGGUUCACCCAUUGGUCAGGCUUAAUUGUCUGUACUGGUGAGAUGAGUCUCUACCUUCUGAGGAACUUUCAUGCCAUUUAUUUGGUGUGGUUGGAAAUCAGGACUGUUACUUUGAAAAAAUUAGAGUGUUUAAAGCAGGCUAACGUCUGAAUACAUUAGCAUGGAAU